GAUGAACGCUGGCGGCGUGCCUAAUACAUGCAAGUCGAGCGAACAGACGAGGAGCUUGCUCCUCUGACGUUAGCGGCGGACGGGUGAGUAACACGUGGAUAACCUACCUAUAAGACUGGGAUAACUUCGGGAAACCGGAGCUAAUACCGGAUAAUAUAUUGAACCGCAUGGUUCAAUAGUGAAAGACGGUUUUGCUGUCACUUAUAGAUGGAUCCGCGCCGCAUUAGCUAGUUGGUAAGGUAACGGCUUACCAAGGCAACGAUGCGUAGCCGACCUGAGAGAGUGAUCGGCCACACUGGAGCUGAGACGCGGUCCAGACUCCUACGGGAGGCAGCAGUAGGGAAUCUUCCGCAAUGGGCGAAAGCCUGACGGAGCAACGCCGCGUGAGUGAUGAAGGUCUUCGGAUCGUAAAACUCUGUUAUUAGGGAAGAACAAAUGUGUAAGUAACUAUGCACGUCUUGACGGUACCUAAUCAGAAAGCCACGGCUAACUACGUG
rnacentral:rRNA from 1 species